ACAAGGCCACACCACAUUGCGUCGGAGCGUGCGUUGGUCGAAGAAGAAAACGGCGACAUGUCGGAGAAGAAACAAACCGUAGAUCUGGGGUUGUUAGAAGAGGAUGACGAGUUUGAAGAGUUCCCAGCUGAAGAUUGGACCGGUUUGGAUGAAGAUGAAGAUGCUCAUGUGUGGGAAGAUAACUGGGAUGAUGACAAUGUAGAAGAUGACUUUUCCAACCAACUGAGGGCAGAGCUUGAAAAACAUGGCUACAAAAUGGAGACGUCAUAGGAAGAUGUUUGCAGAAAAGACUUUGGAUGUUCUCAGAAAAAUGGAAGACUGCAUGCCUACAGGACCUGUUUCUCUGUUUUGUAAAGAUUACAACAAUAAAAGUGUUGAACAGAAAUAAGUUUUAUUUUUUCAAUAACAAGCUGAUUUGUAAAUGCCAUUGAUAUUAAACACGUUUAAUGGUU